rnacentral:sRNA from 1 species
AAAUAAAAAAGACCGAAUACGAUUCCUAUAUUCGGUCCAGGGAAAUGGCUCAUUUAAGAGCCGUGCGCUAAAAGUUGGCAUUGAUGCAGGCGAUGUCGCCUUGCCUUUUAAAGCGUAGAACAGACGUGCGGAUUUUCCAGCCA